rnacentral:rRNA from 1 species
GACAAACGCUGGCGGCGUGGAUUAGGCAUGCAAGUCGAACGGUAUCAUCCUUUCGGGGGUGAGAGAGUGGCGAACUGGUGAGUAACACGUAGGUUAUCUACCCUCAAGACGGGGACAACCCAGGGAAACUUGGGCUAAUACCGGAUGUGAGCAACUUUUAGUUGUUUGAAAGGUGGCGUAAGCUGUCGCUUGGAGAUGAGCCUGCGUCCUAUUAGUUAGUUGGUGAGGUAACGGCUCACCUAGGCAAUGAUAGGUAGGCGGCCUUAACGGGUGGUCGCCCACACUGGGAUUGAGAUACGGCCCAGACUCCUACGGGAGGCAGCAGUCGAGAAUAGUCUACAAUGGUCGGAAGACUGAUAGUGCGACGCCGCGUGAACGAUGAAUCCCUUCGGGGUGUAAAGUUCUUUUAUAUGUGAGCAGUGCUUCUUAUAUUAACAGUAUGGGGAGAGAGAUAUUAGCAUAUGAAUAAGCAACGGCUAACUCCGUGCCAGCAGCCGAC